rnacentral:misc_RNA from 1 species
GAUAAGAACGCAGCGAAAUGCGAUACGUAAUGUGAAUUGCAGAAUUCAGUGAAUCAUCGAGUCUUUGAACGCACAUUGCGCCCCCUGGUAUUCCGGGGGGCAUGCCUGUCCGAGCGUCAUUGCUGCCCUCAAGCACGGCUUGUGUGUUGGGCCUCCGCCCCCCGGCUCCCGGGGGGCGGGCCCGAAAGGCAGCGGCGGCACCGCGUCCGGUCCUCGAGCGUAUGGGGCUUCGUCACCCGCUCCGUAGGCCCGGCCGGCGCCCGCCGGCGACCCCCCUCAAUCUUUCCAGGUUGACCUCGGAUCAGGUAGGGAUACCCGCUGAACUUAAGCAUAUCAAUAAGCGGAGGA